CCUCCCCCUUUCUCCUCUCCUCCCCCUUUCUCCUCUCCUCCUCCUCUCCUCUCCUCCCCCUUUCUCCUCUCCUCCCCAUCUUCUCCCCCUUUCUCCUCUCCUCCCGCUUUCUCCUCUUCUCCUCCUCUCCUCUCCUCCCCCUUUCUCCUCUCCUCCCCCUUUCUCCUCUCCUCCUCCUCCCCCUCUCCUCCCCCUUUCUCCUCUCCUCCCACUUUCUCCUCUCCUCUCCCCCUAAUGGUGCAUUGUCCCAUUCAGGCGCUAGCUCUACUUCCUGAUGAUGUAAUAAAUGCAGCAAGCUUUGAACUUGCUGGGGUAAGGGUUCUCACUUUUUCCCUCUCGUUUCCCCCACUGACACGUUACCCUCCAAGAGGGAGGGAUAGAUGUGUGUAUCUGUGGGGCAGUUGGGGCCUCCUUCAAUGUAUGUGCCAGAAAUGAACGCGUUAAAGCGGGGAAUAGGAUGAUAUGAUGAGGUUGUAACAACGGUUUGAUUUUUUAAAAUAUAAAAAUAAAAUAAAAUUGCAAUGUAUGUUUAGGAUUUAUUUUUAUUUUUUAAAAGCAGAUUAAUACGCAUUAUGAAUGAUUUGGUUAUCAUGAUCUCACCAAACCAAAGAGUAAACAGCAAUGAAAAUAUAAACUAUAUCUGAUUUCAUAAAAUAAUGACACGGUAUUAAAAUGAUCUUGUUCAAUUACAGCCCUGUAUUAUCAUCAGCAUCGUCAUAUUCCCUCCUGUCAGCAGGAAUAUAGAGCUGAUUGAUACUACAGUAGCUUUUACAGAAGGAUCGCUGAGCUGCACUGGAGGGUACAAGGGCAUAAUAUAGCAUACAUUAUUCUAUAGCUUCUACUGGAACGAGAUGUAAUGGGUAUCCCAAACUGCACCCUAUUCCCUGUAUAGUGCACCUGUAUAUUUAGCCCAAACAACUACCUCUUUACCUACUGUAUUUAUUUAUUAAUUUAUUUUGCUCCUUUGCACCCCAUUAUUUCUGUCUCUACUUUGCACUUUCUUCCAAUGCAAACCAACCAUUCCAGUGUUUUUUUUAGUUUUUAUUUUACUUGCUGUGUUGUACUCACUUCGCCUCCAUGGCCUUUUUAUAUUUUUAUUUAUUUAUACAUAUAUCUGUUUGCCUUCACCUCCCUUAUCUCACCUCACUUGCUCACAUUGUAUAUAGACUUAUUUUUUUUCACUGUAUUAUUGACUAUAUGUUUGUUUUUACUCCAUGUGUAACUAUGUGUUGUUGUAUGUGUCGAACUGCUUUGCUUUAUCUUGGCCAGGUCGCAAUUGUAAAUGAGAACGUGUUCUCAAUUUGCCUACCUGGUUAAAUAAAGGUUAAAUAAAUAAAUAAAAAAACACAGGGAAUAGGGUGAAAUUCCACUCUGAGUUCCACUGGAGGGUACUGUGAGGUCAUCACUGCUCUAGCGGAAGUUGAUCACCAGGCAGAAUUGUGGAGCUGUACCACUUCUCUGUACCUUACUGGAGCUAUACCUUCUCUGGUUCCUCUCUCUUUCUACUGCAGAGGGGUGGCUGGGACACACAUCCACACACACACAGAGAGAGAGUGAGAGGAGAGAGAGAGGAGAGAGAGGAGAGAGGGGAGAGAGGAGAGAGGGGAGAGUGAGGAGAGGAGAGAGAGGAGAGAGGGGAGAGGAGAGAGAGAGAGUGAGAGACCUUAUAAUUUUACAGUGAUCUGGAAAUGAGCAUUUUACACAAAAAGUGACAUGGUACCGUUUGAGAGUCAGAGAUCUACCUGCAACACGUUGGGUGGUGCUCCAGAUCUGGUUGCGGAUAUCCAAGAUAAAUCAGGAAACGUAUUGCCAGAAAACAAUAGCCUUGUCUUUUUUACACGGCUGCAAUAUUCCUAAUUAUAGAAAAGGGGGAAAUAUUAUGCGCCCUUCACAGUUUAGUAUCUGGAGCCCUUCCACUGCCAUCAUCUACCACUGAAGGUAGUUCUUGAUACAUUUCAUUAGAAAUAUAAUGAGAUUAUUUUCUUCAGAAUUUUUUUUGUAAAUGUUUUUUUUCCCUAAAACAUAAAACAUACACAUUUUAUGUGAAUUGAGCAUCUUCAUCCAUGAUGUCUUGUCUUAACCAUAUUAAUAUUCAUGGUUGCCAUUGGUAAUUAAUAUUCAUGGUUGCCAUUGGUAGUUCAUGUAGGCCUGUUGGUAAUUAAUAUUCAUGGUUGCCAUUGGUAGUUCAUAUUCAUGGUUGCCAUUGGUAGUUCAUGUAGGCCUGUUGGUAAUUAAUAUGCAUGGUUGCCAAUGGUAAUUCAUGUAGGCCUGUUGGUAAUUAAUAUUCAUGGUUGCCAUUGGUAAUUCAUGUAGGCCUGUUGGUAAUUAAUAUUCAUGGUUGCCAAUGGUAAUUCAUGUAGGCCUGUUGGUAAUUCAUAUUCAUGGUUGCCAUUGGUAAUUCAUGUAGGCCUGUUGGUAAUUGUAGGUAGUCUGCAGUGUGUGUUUUCUGGACGUAAACGCACAGCAUCAGCAGAGUAAGGGCUCUAUUCAAUCCGCAUUGCGGAAGUUCGGCUUUACAGCGUAAUUGAAAUUUAAAGGCAGUGUUCGUGCUUUCAGAGGAGACUGCAUUUACAUUAAACGCUACAUAUGUCUGCUCAAUCUGAAAUGACCUUCACAUUUCUAUCAUGGAACUUGUUAUGCUUCUGCUUGAAUAAAGCCCUAGGACUAUCCUACGCAGAGACUUUGGGAGAAUCUCAAUUGCAUAUUCCUUGUGUCCCUCCCUCCCUCGCUUCGUUCUCAAAACCCAUUGGAGGGGAAGAUCAGAGGGGGGAGGGGGACCUAUGGCUUUCUCAUCCAAUGGGUUUUGAGAAGGAGGUUGAGGAGCGAUGUAAUUGAGAUUCUCCCCUAGAGAAGGCUACCAGAGUCAUGCAGAUUCUACCACUAUUACAUAUUUGCCAAACUAUUUAUAAUUCCUGUAGCCGCUGGUCAUUGAAGAUGUUUUCUGGAAAAGUAAACGCUGAUUCUGCAGUUUUGCUCCAGAAAAUCCAGUAGGUCUAUCCUACAUGUAGUGAGUGACCUCCACUGCAGUCAUUCCAUGAGGGUGCAGAGAGAAGCGAACAAAACAGACAUUAAAAAGUGAAAACUAUCUGAAGGGGAAAUGGUACAUACGUUUUAGAGAUAAACAUCAUACAUUUUCUAGCACAAUAUACAUGUCAGUUUAAAGCUCCUCUCACAGUCGGUCUUUCAGGAUCUUUCCACUUUUUAUGCUCCUCAAUGUUUUAUAACCAUACUAUAUGACCCCCCCAGUGUUCAGUCCCUCUCACUCUGCUCCUCCCCUCUCCUCCCACCUAUAGUGUGUGAGUAGAUUCACUCUGAUGGCCUCUGCCUGGGCUGGCUGAGCUGUGCGUGUUGGAACAUGCCUCGACUUGUACUGGCUCGCCUGGCUGAGGAAGGAGAGAGCCUUGAGCCCUGCCCUCAACAGUUUCACCAUGCCCUGCUUGAAGUGACCCUCUGGUAGACGAACAAGACCCAGCAGAGGUGCUCAACACUGGCAGUUGAUUGUCCUGAACACUCAGAGUGGACGGACACACUGGACAGAACCAGGACAGGACCUUGGAUCUUCAGCUGUACCCAGUCUAUAAUCUGUCCACAAUCCUAACACUACUUUACUGCUCUUGGGGAUUCCCCUUCACAGUGAAACCUCCUCUUCAUCAGCCGAGACAGCAGGCAUCCUCCACUUACCUACCAGCUGCCACAGAGGAACCACAACGUUUAUCAAGAAUGAAAGUCACAGGAGGACUACAGCACUAUUCACCCUCGAGGCGGAAACCUUUUGACCAUUCUCUGACAACAUCACCAGGUCGGACCUGAUAGUGACCCCUGUGUGUGUGUGUGUGUGUGUGUGUGUGUGUGUGUGUGUGUGUGUGUGUGUGUGUGUGUGUGUGUGUGUGUGUGUGUGUGUGUGUGUGUGCGUGUGCGUGUGCGUGUGCGUGCGUGCGUGCGUGCGUGCGUGCGUGCGUGCGUGCGUGUUAGAUUCCCUGUUGGAAACACAGCAGGGAGAAACUGUACCAACCAGUGAUGAUGAAGAGGCCAGUAACUCAGGAUCUGCUGGAUGGAUGUGGCUGCUGGGAGUGUUUCUCUGGCAGUGUCUUAGCUGGUUGUUGUGAGGGAGAGAACGAAGCAAUCAGCAAGUAUACUGCCGCAGAAACUCUUCACACUACGAGCCCAGGCCCCUGGAACCAGCAAGUAGGCCAUUGGCCCCAUGAAAUCAGCAAGUAGGCCAUUGGCCCCCUGGAACCAGCAAGUAGGCCAUUGACCCCUGGAAUCAGCAAGUAGGCCAUUGGCCCCCUGGAAUCAGCAAGUAGGCCAUUGGCCCCCUGGAAUCAGCAAGUAGGCCAUUGACCCCUGGAAUCAGCAAGUAGGCCAUUGACCCCUGGAAUCAGCAAGUAGGCCAUUGACCCCUGGAACCAGCAAGUAGGCCAUUGACCCCUGGAAUCAGCAAGUAGGCCAUUGACCCCUGGAAUCAGCAAGUAGGCCAUUGACCCCUGGAACCAGCAAGUAGGCCAUUGGCCCCCUGGAAUCAGCAAGUAGGCCAUUGACCCCUGGAAUCAGCAAGUAGGCCAUUGGCCCCUGGCUCUCAGAUGUCAUUCCCCCAGAGCGACAGAAGGAAUGAGGAAGAGAAGAGCACCAUGUUUAGUAUGAUUAUUACCACUGGACUCAUGUCGGACAAUAGACUGAUGAUGCUUUUGGGAUAUGGUGACAUUGUGUCUAUAACCUGAGUGCGUGGUAUUCUGUUUUAAAAUCAAUGCAAUCCUCUAACGCCAUCUUGUGUCUCAAAUGUUAAGUGGAGCCAAAUUGGACAUACCGAUAAUGUGUUGAUGUAUAAUUAAGUUAUAAUAGUUAUUACCAGUUUGUAUCUCUUAAAAUAUAUAUUUGCAAUGCUUUUUGCAAUCACUUGCUCUGGGUUAUUGAAAAUAAACAGAAAAUAUUGAAAAAUAACUGUCAAUAUAGUCAUGUCUAUACCUUGUCUUCGUCAUUCGUCAUUUCCUGUUGGAUCUUCAUUUAAAUGUUUAAAAUACCUGUCCCAUCUGAGCACAGACCUUGAAGACGAGCUUGAGUCAAGAGGAACAUUGUAUGGGUGGUAGGUAGUCUAGUGGUUAGCGUGUCGGGCCAGUAACCGAAAGGUUGCCGGAUUGAAUCCCCCGAGCUGACAAGGUAAAAAUCUGUCGUUCUGCCCCUGAACAAGGCAGUUAACCCACUGUUCCCCGGUAGGCCGUCAUUGUAAAUAAGAAUUUGUUCUUAACGGACUUGCCUAGUUAAAUAAAGGUUAAAAAAUAUA